CCUACGGGUGGCAGCAGUGAGGAAUAUUGGUCAAUGGGCGCGAGCCUGAACCAGCCAAGUCGCGUGAGGGAAGACGGUCCUAUGGAUUGUAAACCUCUUUUGUCGGGGAGCAAAAGACGCCACGCGUGGCGUUCCGAGAGUACCCGAAGAAAAAGCCUCGGCUAACUCCGUGACAGCAGCCGCGGUAAUACGGCUGAUGCGAGCGUUAUCCGGAUUUAUGGGGGUUCACGGGUGCGGAGGCGGAAGAUCAAGUCGGCGGUCAAGUUGAUAGGCCCAACCUCUUCGAGCCGUUGAAACUGGUUUUCUGGAGUGAGCGAGAAGUAUGCGGAAUGCGUGGUGUAGCGGUGAAAUGCAUAGAUAUCCCGCAGAACUCCGAUGGCGAAGGCAGCAGACCGGCGCUCAACUGACGCUCAUGCACGAAAGUGUGGGUAUCGAACAGGAUUAGAUACCCGGGUAGUC
rnacentral:rRNA from 1 species